rfam:Drosophila ananassae strain TSC#14024-0371.13 Ctg01_3096, whole genome shotgun sequence.
ACCGCUGAACCACUUUCAUGCUUGGGAUUGUGAACUGAAACUGUUCACAUGAACUUGGAAUUCCUAGUAAGUGUGAGUCAUUAACUCGCAUUGAUUACGUCCCUGCCCUUUGUGCACACCGCCCGUCGCUACUACCGAUUGAAUUAUUUAGUGAGGUCUCCGGACGUGAUCACUGUGACGCCUUGCGUGUUACGGUUGUUUCGCAGAAGUUGACCGAACUUGAUUAUUUAGAGGAAGUAAAAGUCGUAACAAGGUUUCCGUAUGUGAACCUGCGGAAGGAUCAUUA